CGUACGCGGGCGGGUACCUGGGCAUUUGGCUCGGAAUGUCUGCGCUCGGCUUUCUCUUGAAUAUGCAUGGCAGAGCGUAUUUACACAAAAGAGAAAUCCAGAAGAUUGUUAAUGCCUUCUUUACAAGAGGCGAACAAAAUCUAAGACUGAGAAAAAAACCAAGAUGGACUGAUCCCGUGAUUCGUAUCCGUUAAGCAAUACUCAGCAGAGGCACGUGCUUC